CUUGAUCGAGCCGAGCAACAAGGGCUGUUCAGUGGGGCGUUCCUGACCGUAGGUGGCCAGCAGCGCCUGUGCCUC
rnacentral:antisense_RNA from 1 species